GCCGACGUGGCGCAAUUGGUUAGCGCGUCAGACUUUUAAGUCCCGAUUGGGAGAUCUGAAUGUUGCGAGUUCGAGUCUCGCCGUUGGCG